UGAAUAAAUGGCAGGCAAGCAUGUUCUGAGGUGGGUAAGCAGUCUGUAACUUCUUAAAUGGAACAGAAAUUUAGAUAGUGGAGUGUUAGUGUAUUUUGUCGGGGCUACUGACUUACCUGAUCUCAACCAGCCUUAGGCUGGAGAUAAGUAGUUAAGGAUAACUACUUAAAUUAUCUGCAUUUUUACAUACUGCUCAGAAAAGCCCACCACAGGUGGAGACUAAGGUGGCAAUUUUAAUUUCCUUUUCUUACUUUUGGUAGGCCUUGUAUACAGGAUGGAUUCUCCGUGAUGUUACUUUGAAUAUGUACCCAAGGAAGUAAGAAAAAGUUUUGUCUCUAGGAUUGUGCUUGGAAUAUGCUACAAAAAUGUCAGAGAUAAAGAAGAAAACCACUAGAGUUUCUCUGACCAUCAGUUCCCCAGUUAAUGAAACCUCCAACAUCAGAUCAAGUUAUUCUACCUUAGUUCAACCAUUGUGUAUUGACCCCCAGAGGGUAGGUUCAGUUUUAUGCCUUCUGAGGGGUCCGGGUAAGGGAGACACAGGCCCAGAGAAGAAGGAAUCAAUGCAACUUUCUUGAAAAGUGUAUG
rnacentral:lncRNA from 1 species